rnacentral:rRNA from 1 species
UACGUAGGGUGCGAGCGUUAAUCGGAAUUACUGGGCGUAAAGCGUGCGCAGGCGGUUCGUUGUGUCGGCGGUGAAAGCCCCGGGCUCAACCUGGGAAUGGCCGUUGAAACUGGCGAACUGGAGUGUGGCAGAGGGGGGUGGAAUUCCGCGUGUAGCAGUGAAAUGCGUAGAGAUGCGGAGGAACACCGAUGGCGAAGGCAGCCCCCUGGGCUGACACUUACGCUCAGACACGAAAGCUGGGGGAGCGAACGGG